UGGCUCAGAACGAACGCUGGCGGCGUGGCUAAGACAUGCAAGUCGAACGGACUGUCUGGAUGAGUAAUCUGAAAGACAGUUAGUGGCGAAAGGGUUAGUAAUGGAUAGGUAACGUACCCCGAGCUCCGGAAUAGCCAUUCGAGAGGGUGGGUAAUACCGGAUAAUACCAUGUGCCCCAAGGUAUAUGGUCAAAGAUUUAUCGGCACGGGAGCGGCCUGUCUCCCAUCAGUUUGUUGGUGAGGUAACGGCUCACCAAGGCAGCGACGGGUAGCGGGACUGAGAGGUUGACCCGCAACAUCGGGACUGAGACACUGCCCGGACCUCCACGGAGGGCUGCAGUAACGAAUAUUGCGCAAUGGGCGAAAGCCUGACGCAGCGACGCCGCGUGUAGGAUGAAGUCCCUCGGGAUGUAAACUACUGUCAGGGGUUAGAAAGUCCGGUUCGCCGGAUUGAUCGGCCCCAGAGGAAGUCACGGCUAACUUCGUGCCAGCAGCCGCGGUAAUACGAAGGUGGCUAGCGUUGUUCGGUGUCACUGGGCUUAAAGCGUGUGUAGGCGGAAAAGAAAGCGUUUUGUGAAAGCCCCCGGCUUAACCGGGGAACUGCAAGACGAACUGCUUUUCUUGAGGCAAGCAGGGGUGCGUGGAACUCUUGGUGGAGCGGUGGAAUGCGUAGAUCUCAAGAGGAACGCCGGUGGUGAAGACGACGCACUGGGCUUGUCCUGACGCUGAGACACGAAAGCGUGGGGAGCGAACGGGAUUAGAUACCCCGGUUAGUCCACGCCGUAAACGAUGUCUACUAGGUUGUGGGAGUUCUGACACUUUCACGGCCGAAGCAAAAGUGCUAAGUAGACCGCCUGGGGAGUACGGUCGCAAG
rnacentral:rRNA from 1 species